rnacentral:rRNA from 1 species
UUUGAUCCUGGCUCAGAUUGAACGCUGGCGGCAGGCCUAACACAUGCAAGUCGAACGGUAACAGGAAGUGCUUGCACUUCGCUGACGAGUGGCGGACGGGUGAGUAAUGCUUGGGAACUUGCCUUUGCGAGGGGGAUAACAGUUGGAAACGACUGCUAAUACCGCAUAAUGUCUUUGAGAUUCGGUCUGAAAGACCAAACGGGGCUUAGGCUCCGGCGCAAAGAGAGGCCCAAGUGAGAUUAGCUAGUUGGUAAGGUAAAGGCUUACCAAGGCAACGAUCUCUAGCUGUUCUGAGAGGAAGAUCAGCCACACUGGAACUGAGACACGGUCCAGACUCCUACGGGAGGCAGCAGUGGGGAAUAUUGCACAAUGGGGGAAACCCUGAUGCAGCCAUGCCGCGUGUGUGAAGAAGGCCUUCGGGUUGUAAAGCACUUUCAGUUGUGAGGAAAAGUUAGUAGUUAAUACC